AGGCAAGAUGUAGGCACGAUG
rnacentral:miRNA from 1 species